UAGAAAGUGGUAAAAUGGAAUCACAGAGGGUUUUGAUCUCUCAAUUAUAGGUUCGAUCCCUAUCUUUCUAA
rnacentral:tRNA from 1 species